UACGUAGGCGGCAAGCGUUGUCCGGAAUUAUUGGGCGUAAAGCGCGUGUAGGCGGUCCGGUAAGUCCGCUGUGAAAGUCGAGGGCUCAACCCUCGAAUGCCGGUGGAUACUGUCGGGCUUGAGUACGGGAGAGGCGAGUGGAAUUCCUGGUGUAGCGGUGAAAUGCGCAGAUAUCAGGAGGAACACCAAUGGCGAAGGCAGCUCGCUGGGACGUGACUGACGCUGAGACGCGAAAGCGUGGGGAGCAAACAGG
rnacentral:rRNA from 1 species